rnacentral:misc_RNA from 1 species
GAUGAAGAACGUAGCGAAAUGCGAUAAAUAAUGUGAAUUGCAGAAUUCAGUGAAUCAUCGAGUCUUUGAACGCACAUUGCGCCCCCUGGUAUUCCGGGGGGCAUGCCUGUCCGAGCGUCAUUGCUGCCCUCAAGCACGGCUUGUGUGUUGGGCCCCCGUCCCCCCCUCCCGGGGGACGGGCCCGAAAGGCAGCGGCGGCACCGCGUCCGGUCCUCGAGCGUAUGGGGCUUUGUCACCCUCUCUGUAGGCCCGGCCGGCGCCUGCCGACCACCAUCAAUCUUUUUUCAGGUUGACCUCGGAUCAGGUAGGGAUACCCGCUGAACUUAAGCAUAUCAAUAAGCGGAGGA